GCCAGAUGUUAAAGGGCCAGCAAGGGACAGGCAGUGAACACCUUGACUACCUUGCCAGUCGUGCUUACCCCGUGCCACAUCCCUCCCCUGAGGCACCUUGGCCCCAUCUCACCUUAGGCUUGGCUGCCUCUGGAGCAGGAGGAGCCGUUGGUAGGACCUGCCAAGGAGGGAAUGAUGACGGCUCUCCCCGACACAAUGUCUUUACCUCUGCGUGUCCAGUGAGAGGCUGUGGGACCACAGACACUUGUUCACAAGUGAGGGCAACAGACAGAUGGACUUUUAACAAAGGGAUGCUGGAUGAGAAUCAUCAGUGGAAUCACAACCAAAUUGUCGACUUACCCAGGUACACUGCUUCACAAAACUCAAACAGAAGCUUCUUUGUGAAGAGGACUGUAAAGGCUGUGUCAAGGUUAACAGCAACACUUUAUCUAUCACAUCACCUCCUCCCAAAGAAGUCUCCAACCCCAAGUGGACAGGAGACACUGCUCUGUCACACAUGGCUUAUUCAAUAG
rnacentral:lncRNA from 1 species